AAAACUUUCAACAACGGAUCUCUUGGUUCUGGCAUCGAUGAAGAACGCAGCGAAAUGCGAUAAGUAAUGUGAAUUGCAGAAUUCAGUGAAUCAUCGAAUCUUUGAACGCACAUUGCGCCCGCCAGUAUUCUGGCGGGCAUGCCUGUUCGAGCGUCAUUUCAACCCCUCAAGCCCUGCUUGGUGUUGGGG
rnacentral:rRNA from 1 species